AUACUAACUGAAAUUUCAAUUAAAAUUACAUUGAAUUUAUGGAUCAAUUGGAGAGAGUUACCAUCUUUAUAUUAAACUGUCUCAUCCAAAAACAGGGAAUGUCUCUUCAUUUAUUCUUUUUUUUUUAAACUUUUUUCCCUUACAUGUUCCUACGGAUUCUAAAUUUAUUCAGAUCAACUCUUUUAUAAGAGUUUAAAAGUUCUCUCCAUGGAGAUCUUAUAUAUUCUUAAAUAAUCCCUAGAUACUUAAUAACUUUUAUUGCUAUUGUGGAUAAUAUUUACUAUUUAUUGGCUUUAGCUGUUAUAGGAAAUACAAUUGAUUUUUGUUGGGUGAUCUUGUAUUCACCAACCUUGCUGAAUGUUCUUAUUAGUUCUAAUAAUCAAUACUAUUUUAAAAAGUAGGUGGUUAUCAAAUUAUCUAUAAAUGAUAGUUUUAUCUCUUCUCUUUCAGUCCUUACACCUUUGUUCUCUUUAUGGCAUUGGAUAGGAUUUCCAGAACUAUGUAAAAUGGUAGCACUGAUAGUGGGCCUCCUUCUAUUGACCUUAAUCUUAAAGAGAUUGUGUCCACAUUUUUUCUAUUAACAUAAUAUUUGCUGUAGGUUUUUUGGUAUAUGACUUUUAUCAAAUUAGGAAAGUUACCUUCUGUGUGCUAAGUCUUAUUAUGAAUAGGAUUAAACCUGUUAACAAGCAAAGACAUUAGGAUAAUUAUAUAAUUUUUCUCCUUUAGUUUAUUAAUGUGGUGAAUUACAAUGAUGAUUUUUUUAUAAUGGACCAUCCUUGCAUCCCUUGGAUAAACACUACUUAAAGAUUUUAGAAUGGAUACUUAGGAAGAUCGAAGUUACUCAGUAUCUUUUAUCCUUCUCAAGAACAUUCCAAGGACUAAUUUACGUGCUGCUGUUUGUCAAUAUUUAGGAGGAGGCAUCCUCCUCCUCUUUUUAGUCAUGAGGACUAUCUUUACUUUUACAAAGCAUGACUUUAGUCAUGCUUAUCUUUACUUUUACAAAUUAAAACAUUAUUAGAGUUUUUA